rnacentral:rRNA from 1 species
AGCGAACGCUGGCGGCAGGCCUAACACAUGCAAGUCGAGCGGACGUAGCAAUACGUCAGCGGCAGACGGGAGAGUAACACGUGGGAACGCGCCCUUCGGUUCGGAAUAACUCAGGGAAACUUGGGCUAAUACCGAAUACGCCCUUACGGGGAAAGAUUCAUUGCCGAAGGAACGGCCCGCGUCCGAUUAGCUUGUUGGUGAGGUAACGGCUCACCAAGGCGACGAUCGGUAGCUGGUCUGAGAGGAUGACCAGCCGCACGGGGACUGAGACACGGCCCAGACUCCUACGGGAGGCAGCAGUGGGGAAUAUUGGACAAUGGGCGCAAGCCUGAUCCAGCCAUGCCGCGUGGGUGAUGAAGGCCCUAGGGUUGUAAAGCCCUUUCGGCGGGGAAGAUAAUGACGGUACCCGCAGAAGAAGCCCCGGCUAACUUCGUGCCAGCCGCCGCAGUAAUAC